CGGACGGGUGAGUAACGCGUGGGUAACCUGCCUUGUACAGGGGGAUAACAGUUGGAAACGGCUGCUAAUACCGCAUAAGCGCACGGCAUCGCAUGAUGCAGUGUGAAAAACUCCGGUGGUAUAAGAUGGACCCGCGUUGGAUUAGCUGGUUGGUGAGGUAACGGCCCACCAAGGCGACGAUCCAUAGCCGACCUGAGAGGGUGACUGGCCACAUUGGGACUGAGACACGGCCCAA
rnacentral:rRNA from 1 species